rnacentral:sRNA from 6 species
AUAUCUCUCCGUACGGGAAGGAUAAGAAGCUUUGACUAAGGUUCGAUUCGAGCGCAGCGAGAAAGCGUUGCCGCAGGCAACGACCCGAAGGGUGAGGAGCGGAGCGACGAAUAAUCCUUCCCCCACCACCA